rnacentral:rRNA from 1 species
ACGAACGCUGGCGGCGUGGAUAAGACAUGCAAGUCGAACGAGAGAAUUGCUAGCUUGCUAAUAAUUCUCUAGUGGCGCACGGGUGAGUAACACGUGAGUAACCUGCCCCCGAGAGCGGGAUAGCCCUGGGAAACUGGGAUUAAUACCGCAUAGUAUCGAAAGAUUAAAGCAGCAAUGCGCUUGGGGAUGGGCUCGCGGCCUAUUAGUUAGUUGGUGAGGUAACGGCUCACCAAGGCGAUGACGGGUAGCCGGUCUGAGAGGAUGUCCGGCCACACUGGAACUGAGACACGGUCCAGACACCUACGGGUGGCAGCAGUCGAGAAUCAUUCACAAUGGGGGAAACCCUGAUGGUGCGACGCCGCGUGGGGGAAUGAAGGUCUUCGGAUUGUAAACCCCUGUCAUGUGGGAGCAAAUUAAAAAGAUAGUACCACAAGAGGAAGAGACGGCUAACUCUGUGCCAGCAGCCGCGGUAAUACAGAGGUCUCAAGCGUUGUUCGGAAUCACUGGGCGUAAAGCGUGCGUAGGCUGUUUCGUAAGUCGUGUGUGAAAGGCGCGGGCUCAACCCGCGGACGGCACAUGAUACUGCGAGACUAGAGUAAUGGAGGGGGAACCGGAAUUCUCGGUGUAGCAGUGAAAUGCGUAGAUAUCGAGAGGAACACUCGUGGCGAAGGCGGGUUCCUGGACAUUAACUGACGCUGAGGCACGAAGGCCAGGGGAGCGAAAGGGAUUAGAUACCCCUGUAGUCCUGGCAGUAAACGGUGCACGCUUGGUGUGCGGGGAAUCGACCCCCUGCGUGCCGGAGCUAACGCGUUAAGCGUGCCGCCUGGGGAGUACGGUCGCAAGAUUAAAACUCAAAGAAAUUGACGGGGACCCGCACAAGCGGUGGAGUAUGUGGCUUAAUUCGAUGCAACGCGAAGAACCUUACCUGGGCUUGACAUGUAAUGAACAACAUGUGAAAGCAUGCGACUCUUCGGAGGCGUUACACAGGUGCUGCAUGGCCGUCGUCAGCUCGUGUCGUGAGAUGUUUGGUUAAGUCCAGCAACGAGCGCAACCCCUGUUGCCAGUUACCAGCACGUGAAGGUGGGGACUCUGGCGAGACUGCCCAGAUCAACUGGGAGGAAGGUGGGGACGACGUCAGGUCAGUAUGGCCCUUAUGCCCAGGGCUGCACACGUACUACAAUGCCCAGUACAGAGGGGGCCGAAGCCGCGAGGCGGAGGAAAUCCUAAAAACUGGGCCCAGUUCGGACUGUAGGCUGCAACCCGCCUACACGAAGCCGGAAUCGCUAGUAAUGGCGCAUCAGCUACGGCGCCGUGAAUACGUUCCCGGGUCUUGUACACACCGCCCGUCACAUCAUGGAAGCCGGUCGCACCCGAAGUAUCUGAAGCCAACCGCAAGGAGGCAGGGUCCUAAGGUGAGACUGGUGACUGGGAUG